GGGUGGGAUGAGUAUUCUAAGGCGCGUGGAAGAACUCUCUUUAAGGAACUCUGCAAAAUAGCACCGUAUCUUCGGUAUAAGGUGUGGUUAGCUUUGUAUUAGGAUUUACUCCGAAAGCAAGGAAACUUACAACAAAGAGUCCCUCCCGACUGUUUACCAAAAACACAGCACUCUGCUAACUCGUAAGAGGAUGUAUAGGGUGUGACGCCUGCCCGGUGCUCGAAGGUUAAUUGAUGGGGUUAGCAUUAGCGAAGCUCUUGAUCGAAGCCCGAGUAAACGGCGGCCGUAACUAUAACGGUCCUAAGGUAGCGAAAUUCCUUGUCGGUUAAAUACCGACCUGCAUGAAUGGCGUAACGAGAUGGGAGCUGUCUCAAAGAGGGAUCCAGUGAAAUUGUAGUGGAGGUGAAAAUUCCUCCUACCCGCGGCAAGACGGAAAGACCCCGUGGACCUUUACUACAGCUUGACACUGCUACUUGGAUAAGAAUGUGCAGGAUAGGUGGGAGGCUUUGAGUAUAUGACGCCAGUUGUAUAUGAGCCAUUGUUGAGAUACCACUCUUUCUUAUUUGGGUAGCUAACCAGCUUGAGUUAUCCUCAAGUGGGACAAUGUCUGGUGGGUAGUUUGACUGGGGCGGUCGCCUCCCAAAUAAUAACGGAGGCUUACAAAGGUUGGCUCAGAACGGUUGGAAAUCGUUCGUAGAGUAUAAAGGUAUAAGCCAGCUUAACUGCAAGACAUACAAGUCAAGCAGAGACGAAAGUCGGUCUUAGUGAUCCGGUGGUUCUGUGUGGAAGGGCCAUCGCUCAAAGGAUAAAAGGUACCCCGGGGAUAACAGGCUGAUCUCCCCCAAGAGCUCACAUCGACGGGGAGGUUUGGCCCCUCGAUGUCGGCUCAUCGCAUCCUGGGGCUGGGGCAGGUCCCAAGGGUAUGGCUGUUCGCCAUUUAAAGCGGUACGCGAGCUGGGUUCAGAACGUCGUGAGACAGUUCGGUCCCUAUCUGCCGUGG
rnacentral:rRNA from 1 species